rnacentral:tRNA from 1 species
GGCCUUAUAUUCAUAUAAUGAUAUAAAAUUGCAAAUUUUAAGGAGUAAAAUAUUACUAAGGCCU